rnacentral:rRNA from 1 species
AUUGAACGCUGGCGGCAGGCCUAACACAUGCAAGUCGAACGAGUGGCGGACGGGUGAGUAAUGUCUGGGAAACUGCCCGAUGGAGGGGGAUAACUACUGGAAACGGUUGAUACUACCGCAUACCAUCGGAUGUGCCCUGAUGGGAUUAGUUGGUAGGUGGGGUAAAGUCUCACCUAGGCGACCAUCCCUAGCUGGUGUGAGAGGAUGACCAGGCACACUGGAGAUGAGACACGGUCCAGACUCCUACGGGAGGCAGGAGUGGGGAAUAUUGCAGAAUGGGCGCAAGCCUGAUGCGGCCAUGCCGCGGGUAUGAGGAAGGCCUUCGGGGUGUAAAGUACUUUCAGCGGGGAGGCGUUACCCGCAGAAGAAGCACCGGCUAACUCCGUGCCAGCAGCCGCGGUAAUUC